rnacentral:rRNA from 1 species
GCCAGCAGUCGCGGUAAUACGUAGGGUGCAAGCGUUAUCCGGAUUCACUGGGCGUAAAGUGUCGUGUAGGCGGUAUACCGCAUCGUGUCUGAAAGCCCGAGGCUUAACCUCGGCGUUGGACACGAGAUGGGUAAACUUAGAGGAAUGGAGAGGAAAGGGGAACUCAUGGUGAAGCAGUGAAAUGCGUUGAUAUCAUGAGGAACACCGAAGGCGAAGGCACCUUUCUGGCCAUUAACUGACGCUGAGACACGAAAGCUAGGGGAGCGAAGCAGAUUAGAGACCUGCGUAGUCCUAGCCCUAAACGCAUGUCUGCUAGAUGCCCUGCCGCAAGGCGGGGUGUCGUAAGCUAACGCGUUAAGCAGACCGCCUGGGGACUACGAGCGCAAGCUUAAAACUCAAAGGAAUUGACGGGGACCCGCACAACCAGUGGAGCGUGUGGUUCAAUUCGAGACAAAGCGAAGGACCUCACCAGGGUUUGACAUGUUACCGUUUUAACCACCCAGAAAUGGGAGGCUAUCCGCAAGGAUGGUAGCACAGCUGCUGCAUGGCUGUCGUCAGCUCGUGCCGUGGGGUGUUCCCUUAAGUGGGACAACGAGCGCAACCCCUAUCCGAUGUUACAAGUGUCAUCGGAGACCGCCCCCUCUCAAAGUGUUGAAGCAUAUGAACGAUAAACGAAAACAACGAGAAUAACGAAAACAACAACCUGUUUUGUUAUUUUCGUUUGUUGUUGAAUUGUUUAUAGUUCAAAAAGCUUUCAGCUUUUUGAGAGGGGGAGGAAGGAGGGGACGACGUCAAGUCAGCACGGCGCUUAUGCCCUGGGCCACACACACCCUACAAUGGCGAACAACAACGGGACGCAAGGUAGUAAUGCCAAGCAAAUCUCUGAAAUUUCGCCUCAAUUCAGAUUGAGGUCUGCAACUCGACCUCAUGAAGUUGGAAUUGGUAGUAAUCGCGGAUCAGCAGGCCGCGGUGAAUACGUUCUCGGGUCUUGUACACACCGCCCGUCAAGCCACCAAAGUUGAAGGCGGCCGAAUAUCUAUUUAUAGGUAGAAGCCGAAUUUAGCGAUGGGGACUAAGUCGUAACAAGGUAUCCCUAGCCGAAGCUGGGGAUG